rnacentral:lncRNA from 1 species
AGUAAGCUAUGUAGAAAUUGUAAUUGCAUAAUUGCAAAAGACGAACGAAUAAUAUUUUUCACGCUCAAAAUUUUUCACAUUUAAUACAAGGAAUUUUCCUCAGUGCAGACAACUGCCAAACAAAUAGCCAACAACAAGAGCCGAAGCGACAACAAGGCCAACAAUGGCGGCAUUCAAUUUUUAAUAUUUGCCUUGCAAAUUUUGUAUAAAAUGCAUUUGUUGUCUACAAGCCUCCAGGCCGCCAUCCCCUGGAAUUACCAGGCCCCCGCCCCUUAAAAUUGGUGGGCGGAAGAAGACCGGAGACCGAUGACUGGCGGAGGGCACACUAUCGCCCAAUAACACCCGGAACGGGGAAGCUCCAAAAGCUGGAAAACUGGCAACUGGCAACAGGAAGCAGCCAGCGCCGGGCCAAAGUGGGAAAGUGAAUGGAGCACGGCAAUGUCAACACAUGGAAAUUGCAAGGACAGCGGCAAAAAAAAAGAGGGAAAACAGGGAAAACCGAAAAGGAAAACGAAUAGCAGCAGCCACAGUAACUAUAAACUGGAAUGAUAUUGCCAACGAACAUACUAGAACGGCACUGAAAACAAUUU